GAAUGAGUAAAAGAAAGGCAGUUAAUGUUAUUUUUUAAAUUCACUGGCUAGCUUAUUAGUUUGAAAAACUCUCUGUUGAUGAUCUCAUCAAUAUGCCCGAAGCAUAUUCCUUUUCAGUUAUCAAAUGAUUAUACUUAGAUGUUCUUAUCUCUCCUAGCUAAUAUACAUGGACUAGGAUCAGUUUGAUAACCUCUUCUCCUGUUUAAGUUUUAUAAAUAACAAAUUCAAAGGCACUUUGUAUCACAACCAGUAUUAAGCAAAUUUGCCUUGCUGGAAAUGCCUAUUUCCAUGUAGUAUACUGUUGACUUAGUAUAUUACUAUGUUAAAUCUAUGAGUGUUUUAUUUAUAAUCUUUAUUCAAAUUAAUAAGAUAUAUGUAUAUUGAUACUGACAAAUAAGAAAUAAAGUACAUCUGUCUAAAGUCAUAUAGGUAUAGAUAGAUGUAGAUGUGGAUAUAUGUUAAAGUGCAUCUAUCUUUUCAUAUAGGUAUGUAUGGAUAGAGGUAAAUAUAAAUAUAUGUUAAAUUUAAUUUUUACAAAGGACCCACAUUUCAUGAAGGUGAGGUAAAGAAGUCUCUACUUUCUUAUCUCUCUGAAAUCGUUUGAACAAUGUUGAACAACAAAUGAAAACAAAGCACACCUUUGAUGAAUUUUUAAAAUAGCCAGAGAAUUCCAAUUUGAAUUGACAGAGCUGGUGAACACAAAAGCCCUCUUUUUCCAAUAAAAGAGAAUAAAGGAGAAUCAAAAAGACGCAAUUGGAAGAAGAGAGAUGUAAGAACUUCCUGGAAUACCGAAAUAAAAAGGAAGAUCAACAAUGGAUAAAAUGAAGUGGGAAAGCAACCAUAUCAAAGACAGUGGCAAAGAGGAGCCUGGUUGAUUAGCCUGGCAAUGCUUUGAAGAGCUGCAGCCUCAAGAUUAUAAGGAAAAACUGAGGGAGAAGAGCUGAAAGGACAGGAAGGGGAGGGAUGGCUAAGAUGUGGACUUAUCCACAGAAGUCUGUACACAAAACUUACUUUGCUCUCAACAUCCAAUACUCACUUUUCCCUCUCCCUCUCAAUGACUGAAUGCAGUUCACACAGCACUUUUAUCCCAAAGAUUUAGAAGGGUAUUUUGUUUCCUAAAGCAACUAGACUCAUAAGACUGUGGAAUUCAGGCUUCUAGAGUGUUCUGUCCUCUAGAAUAAGCACUACCCAAUUAAAUCAGUGGUUAGUAUAGUAUCUUGUUUAGCGAUCAUGGCCUAAACUCAGCUUCCAAGAUGAAGGCUGUCAUUUGAUAAACCCUAGUCACAUAGAGAAAGCACCCAAUUAGAUUUUCAAUAUCUCUAAUCAUCAGAGAAAUGCAAGUUACAACCACAUGAAGCAUCACAUCAAACCUGUCGGAUUAGCUAUUAUCAAAAGUAUUAAAAAUAACAAGUGUUGGUUAGGAUGUGGAGAAAAGGGAAUGCUUAUACAUUGUUGGUGGCAUUGUAAAUUGAUACAGUGAUUUUGGAAAACCAGUACAGUGAUUCCUCAAAAAACUAAAAAGAGAACUAUCAUAUGAUCCAGCAGUCCCACUGUUGUGUAUUUAUCUAAUGGAAAUAAAAUUAGUAUGCCAAAGAGAUAUCUGAC
rnacentral:lncRNA from 1 species